UGCCCAUCGAGCAUCAGCACCGCACCGUGCCCGGUCCAUGUGCAGAUACAGAUAAAAACAUUUAAUAUUCCUCGUGGCAGAGGCUGCAAUUUCUAACCUGAAUGAAGUCACUUGAAACCGAGCCUCUGAUUGUCAAGAGCAGUUAAACUCUCAUCUGCUGGCGCUUGUUUAUUCCCUGCGCUAGGGUCCCUUUCCUGUUGUGAUUAGAAAGCUCCUGGCAGAAGGGGUUUUGCACAGAUCCCCCUCUUCCAGAGGCUGCCUUCCUGCCUUUCUUCCCUUUCUCUCUCUCUUAAUGAAAAUGUUGCGUGCUCGUCAAAAAAAGUGUUUCUGGCUAUGGAUGAAGAUGUAGAAACUGCCAUAAUAGGAGACCAAAGUGAGCAGGCAGCCGCACGCUGAUUAGAGACCAUUAAAAUCCCUUCUGCGACCAGCACCGGUGUAGGAAAACAAGAGGGACUUCUAUGCUGAAAUGGAUUGCAAAAUAAAAAUUACAUCUAGCUGAGGUCAUUUCUUGCAUGAUGUAUCUUGGGAAAAGAGGGGUUUCUCUUCUUUCCCUGAGAUAUUCAGAAAUUCAAAAUAAAAGCUUUUAGUUUAGGGGAGCGUCGAGGCAGAACAGCACAGACAGAACCUGAGAGCGGUGUUAAUUUUGCCUUGAUUUUUUCUUUCUCUCUAUCUGACAAUCUUUAGGAAAAAAAAUAUCUUGACAUUUUUGUUUCCUUAUUUGCUUGUCUUCUCGAUAUGUCAGGAAGCAGACAAGAUUAUAACACAAUCCCCGCUUUCAGCAAAAGACAUACAUUUGCCAUCCAAACAGCAGAGAUAAGGUUGCGAAUUCUGUGCUUGGGGCACUUUGUGCGGCUCCUCUGAAUUUACCAAGCCCUCCCCACUCUCACCAGGAGAGCAUCUGCCCACUAUUUGGCUAUAUAAAUCUGCUGAACAUCCAUGUAGCAUGGUGGUUUCCAACACACCAGGUCUGACCGAGCUGUGGUCACCCAUGCAGGAGGGAUGUCCCACAGGCACAUGUUGUGCUGCUCGUGUCCCUGGUGGUCCUUCCGCAGAUGCAUUGAGCUGCAAACACCAAACAGAACACGUUGGCUCCUCCACAUUUAGUCCCCAGCCCAAAUAUGCCCCAGAACCAUGCAUCCAUGCCCCAUCACCCUGGCUCUGCGGUGACCAAGGUGCAGCCCACCCCUCCUGCCCUGACUCCUCCGUUCCCACCUCUGCCAAAUCUCUCCUCUGGGCACCGUCACCUCACCUUCACACCAAGCCUCCUGCCUCCUGCCUGGCGCUGAGGCCUCACGUGGCAUCACGGUGUCGCUGAGGAUGCUGCUGAAGUGCUCCUGGGAGUCAAGCCCCUGCCCAGCACCCUGAGGACAGCCUUAUUCUUGCCAACGUCCCUGCUGGGGAGGGCAAGGAGUGAAUGAAACCAGGACGACGUGAGAGGAGUUGUGCUUGGUGCAAGCCAGGUGUGGUGGGACCUCGGGAAGGGGAUGGGUGCAGGGCUGGCAGGAGCUGAGACAGAAGCCUUGCUGGGCAGUGAAAAAUGUGGAAAAUUGCUCCAGAUUAAAGGGUCUGAAGGUGGUUUGGUGGUUGGCAGUUCGAAGUUGCUGUGGAUGCUGCUUCAAACACAGGCUGCUCAGGUGUAAUGCUCGGCAGGUACUUGCACAUCCCAUCACCUCACAUCCCCACCAGAGGCAGAGGGCAGCACAGCCUCUGGGGAGAAGCAGGGAAAGGAAGGAAGGACAUGAGGAUCCCAUCCUGGAAAACGUCCUCCUCAUGGAGCCAAGCUCCAAUGGAUCCCAUACAGCUCGUGUAGACUUGGUGUUACUCAGCAGCGUCACAACCUGCUCACAGCCACCCUACUGAGGAAAACAUCAACUUGGGAUAGUCUGUGCCUCACGUCCAGGCUUGGGGGUGACUCAGGUAAAACCUGGGGAGAAGAAAAUCUCACCUAACCAUUACUGGACCCCACGAAGCCUCUGUCAGCCUGCAGUCAGGUAGCCAGAGGUCAGGACAUUUCUGUCUCCAGUAACACCAUCGGGUAGAGCAGCCAUACCUACCUUACCAGAUAGUUGUUAAAGAUACUUGCAAGAAAGCGUGCCCAGAGCAUGAGACGGGGAUGUCCUUUCUCAGCCUGACCAUGGGUGCAGGGGGAGGAGAGGGCACACAGGGUCUGCAGGGAAGGGGGUGGCCGUCUGGGAGCUGGGGAGGACUCCAGGCCUGGAGCCUGCUGGAGCAAUGAGUGGUGCCAGCAAAUUUCCAAGAUUUCUGGGCUUUAGCCCCAGUUUGGUUGUUCCCAUAGUGGUUCUUCCUGCUGAAGC
rnacentral:lncRNA from 1 species